UUUAAAUGAUGAAAUUUAUUGGUCCGUGUUACUGAUUUAUCAGUGAUUAAUUUUAGAAUCAAUCUCUGAUUAA
rfam:Acromyrmex echinatior unplaced genomic scaffold scaffold398, whole genome shotgun sequence.